UUGCUUAACGCUGCAACAUGCAAGUUAAACAGACAAAAUAUUUUGCAUAUAUAUUAAAAUGUUCGCUGUGUCCUAACAUAAGACGGAUAAUCUCUGAAAAAAUAAUCAAUCUCUUCUGCCUCCUCCUGUGUUCUGUAGAAUUACUCAGCUCAGUCAGAACCAACCAAUCAGAACCAGAACAAAACAGCCAUGUUCUCAGGAAGUUUUGAUUUAGUAACUCAGGAUUGUUUAUUUUGAUGCAACCGGUGUUUAACAUUGAAUGAAUGUUUCCUUUUUAACUUGAAUUAUUUGAUAUAGGCAAUGUUAUGAGAUUUAUUUGAUUCAUGUAUAAUUUAGUGUAAAAUAUUAUUUUAUUGAUA